GACGAACGCUGGCGGCGUGCUUAACACAUGCAAGUCGAGCGGUAAGGCCCUUUCGGGGGUACGACGAGCGGCGAACGGGUGAGUAACACGUGGGUGACCUGCCCUCAGCUCUGGGAUAAGCCUGGGAAACUGGGUCUAAUAACUGGAUAUGACUCCACGGUGCAUGUCGUGGGGUGGAAAGCCUUGUGCGGCUGAGGAUGGGCCCGCGGCCUAUCAGCUUGUUGGNGGGGUGANGGCCUACCAAGGCGACGACGGGUAGCCGGCCUGAGAGGGCGACCGGCCACACUGGGACUGAGACACGGCCCAGACUCCUACGGGAGGCAGCAGUGGGGAAUCUUGCGCAAUGGGCGAAAGCCUGACGCAGCGACGCCGCGUGAGGGAUGACGGCC
rnacentral:rRNA from 1 species